UACGUAGGGUGCGAGCGUUGUCCGGAAUUACUGGGCGUAAAGAGCUCGUAGGUGGUUUGUCGCGUUGUCCGUGAAAACUCACAACUCAAUUGUGGGCGUGCGGGCGAUACGGGCAGACUGGAGUACUGCAGGGGAGACUGGAAUUCCUGGUGUAGCGGUGAAAUGCGCAGAUAUCAGGAGGAACACCGGUGGCGAAGGCGGGUCUCUGGGCCAUAACUGACGCUGAGGAGCGAAAGCGUGGGGAGCGAACAGG
rnacentral:rRNA from 1 species